rnacentral:rRNA from 1 species
GACGAACGCUGGCGGCGUGCUUAACACAUGCAAGUCGAGCGGUAAGGCUCCUUCGGGAGUACACGAGCGGCGAACGGGUGAGUAACACGUGAGUAAUCUGCCCUUCACUUCGGGAUAACCACCGGAAACGGUGGCUAAUACCGAAUACGACCAGUCUUCGCAUGAGGUGCUGGUGGAAAGUCUUUUCGGUGAAGGAUGUGCUCGCGGCCUAUCAGCUUGUUGGUGGGGUAAUGGCCUACCCAGGCUUCGACGGGUAGCCGGCCUGAGAGGGUGACCGGCCACACUGGGACUGAGACACGGCCCAGACUCCUACGGGAGGCAGCAGUGGGGAAUAUUGGACACUGGGCGAAAGCCUGCUCCAGCAACGCCGCGUGAGGGAUGACGGCCUUCGGGUUGUAAACCUCUUUCAGUACCGACGAAGCGCCCUGUCGGGUGGUGACGGUAGGUACAGAAGAAGGACCGGCCAACUACGUG